rnacentral:rRNA from 1 species
CGAUUCCUACGGGAGGCAGCAGUAGGGAAUCUUGCGCAAUGGGCGAAAGCCUGACGCAGCCAUGCCGCGUGAAUGAUGAAGGUCUUAGGAUUGUAAAAUUCUUUCACCGGGGACGAUAAUGACGGUACCCGGAGAAGAGGCCCCGGCUAACCUCGUGCCAGCAGCCGCGGUAAUAAUCUCU